rnacentral:rRNA from 1 species
UACGUAGGGUCCGAGCGUUGUCCGGAAUUAUUGGGCGUAAAGAGCUCGUAGGCGGUUUGUCGCGUCUGCUGUGAAAAUCCCGAGGCUCAACCUCGGGUCUGCAGUGGGUACGGGCAGACUGGAGUGCGGUAGGGGAGACUGGAAUUCCUGGUGUAGCGGUGAAAUGCGCAGAUAUCAGGAGGAACACCGGUGGCGAAGGCGGGUCUCUGGGCAGUAACUGACGCUGAGGAGCGAAAGCGUGGGGAGCGAACAGG